rnacentral:sRNA from 1 species
GUUGGGCAUGGUGGCGCAUUCCUGUAAUCCAGAUGCUUGGAAGGCUGAGGUGGGAGGAUCACGAGUUCAAAGCCCGCCUCAGCAAUUUAGCAAAGCAACUCAGUGAGACUCUAUCUCUA